rnacentral:rRNA from 1 species
UGGGGAAUAUUGCACAAUGGGCGCAAGCCUGAUGCAGCCAUGCCGCGUGUGUGAAGAAGGCCUUCGGGUUGUAAAGCACUUUCAGCGAGGAGGAAGGUGGUGAACUUAAUACGUUCAUCAAUUGACGUUACUCGCAGAAGAAGCACCGGCUAACUCCGUGCCAGCAGCCGCGGUAAUACGGAGGGUGCAAGCGUUAAUCGGAAUUACUGGGCGUAAAGCGCACGCAGGCGGUUUGUUAAGUCAGAUGUGAAAUCCCCGGGCUCAACCUGGGAACUGCAUUUGAAACUGGCAAGCUAGAGUCUCGUAGAGGGGGGUAGAAUUCCAGGUGUAGCGGUGAAACGCGUAGAGAUCUGGAGGAAUACCGGUGGCGAAGGCGGCCCCCUGGACGAAGACUGACGCUCAGGUGCGAAAGCGUGGGGAGCAAAACAGGGAUUAGAUACCCUGGUAGUCCACGCUGUAAACGAUGUCGAUUUGGAGGUUGUGCCCUUGAGGCGUGGCUUCCGGAGCUAACGCGUUAAAUCGACCGCCUGGGGAGUACGGCCGCAAGGUUAAAACUCAAAGGAAUUGACGGGGUCAUAGCUGUUUCCUG